GAUGAAGAACGCAGCGAAAUGCGAUAAGUAGUGUGAAUUGCAGAAUUCAGUGAAUCAUCGAAUCUUUGAACGCACAUUGCGCCCCUUGGUAUCCCGAGGGGCAUGCCUGUUCGAGCGUCAUUUCACCACUCAAGCCUGGCUUGGUGUUGGGCGACGUCCCCUUUGGGGACGCGCCUCGAAACGCUCGGCGGCGUGGCACCGGCUUUAAGCGUAGCAGAAUCUUUCGCUUUGGAAGUCGGGGCCCCGUCUGCCGGAAGACCUACUCGCAAGGUUGACCUCGGAUCAGGCGGGGAUACCCGCUGAACUUAAGCAUAUCAAUAAGCGGAGGA
rnacentral:misc_RNA from 1 species